AGAACUGGGGCUGUACUGAUUUCUUGCUCUAUUGCUAUUCCAGGUGGUGUUGGUCCACAAGUGUGAAACCUGUCUUACUGCCUGUAUUAGAAUUGGAAAGAUGCUCUGGAAGCCAAAACUACUAUGCUGUCAGCAGUGGGUUCAACCCUGGGAUAGUCGGAAGGCUUGCUCCAUGCUCUGAGGCUUCCUCCUGCCUUAACCUCCAUGCUGCGCUUGAAUGAAGAUGAAUCCUUCUGAGGAUGCUUCCUACAAAGUGCUGAGCCCAACAGGAGCUGCACGUCAUCCAGAUUGAGUCAUGAGUAGACAACGGCCCAGCAGCAUCCCCGGUGUGGGAGCAUCCAGUCUCCUUUUGUGAUUAACCGACUGUAAGCUUAGCUGUGAUCAGCAGAGCUCCAGUCCAGGGGGUGGCUGGCCCCCAAAUCCAGCUCCUCAGUUCCUUGGAAGUUCCUCAUUGGGCUCCACCUGUCAGGAGAUGUGGCUCACUGGACCAUGAUGAAGAGCCUGGGCAGAGAGUCAGCAGUGGCCAAGGAGUCCCAUGCCACCUGGGGCACAGGGGACAGAAUGUGUGAGGCUGCUUUUGGUUCCUCCAGGAAGCAAUACUCCGCCCAGGCGGGAUCGAGUAGGUGGCUCCUGUGUGUGUGUUCAUUGCAGUAAUGGGAGGACUGUAUCCCACCAUUCUACUAUCCAUAAGGAGGAUCAAGAAGACAUUCACUCUCUCCAAGGUGAUCCUUAGGGAAGUGAAGCAAGCAAGGUGUGACAUCUGGAAUGGGACCCACCACUGCUGCCAUGAUCCUGCCAGAACAGAGCAGAAUACACCUUCCUACCUUUGGACAGCACGCCCCCACCCAUGCCACCCUAGAGAUCAUCAGCCUCCUGUCAGUGCCUUCAGGUUGCUGGCUCAUAUUGAACUUGUAGUCAAUGCAAACUCCGCACCUUCUUAUAUAUUAUUGUGACACUGGACCUUCCUACCUGCGUCCUUUCGAAUUGGCCCUUUGAACUCAAAGGUAAGAUUCUCUUUCUAUCAAGGAUGGAAAAUAUGUGCAAUGCCCACGCCCAUGGGCCUUGCUCACAUCCAUGGA